AGCACCGUUUGCAAGAUGGCGGUCGACAAGGAGUGGUGGCAGGCCACAGACGCCAAGUUCCAGGCCUGGCCUCACACCGCUGACCCGCCAGUCAUCAUGAACCCCAUCAUCCGCCAGAACUCAAUCGUCAAUUAG
rnacentral:rRNA from 1 species